rnacentral:rRNA from 1 species
AGCGAACGCUGGCGGCAGGCCUAACACAUGCAAGUCGAACGAACUCUUCGGAGUUAGUGGCGGACGGGUGAGUAACACGUGGGAACGUGCCUUUAGGUUCGGAAUAACUCAGGGAAACUUGUGCUAAUACCGAAUGUGCCCUUCGGGGGAAAGAUUUAUCGCCUUUAGAGCGGCCCGCGUCUGAUUAGCCAGUUGGUGAGGUAAAGGCUCACCAAGGCGACGAUCAGUAGCUGGUCUGAGAGGAUGAUCAGCCACAUUGGGACUGAGACACGGCCCAAAAUCCUACGGGAGGCAGCAGAGGGGAAUCUUGCGAAAUGGGGGAAAGGCAGAAGCAGCCAGGCCGCGUGAAUGAUGAAGGUCUGAGGAUUGUAAAAUUCUUUCACCGGGGACGAUAAUGACGGUACCCGGAGAAGAAGCCCCGGCUAACUUCGUG